ACAAGGAAUUGCGUACGUGCAUAUUACUUAAUUUACGGUAAAGAAACUUUCGGUGUCUAGAAGGAGCCCAAAGCUCAAUUGUGAUACUCCAAAGCGAACGUUGUCGACAUCUCGGCGUGAAACGGUAGGUAUUGGUCGCGUAUUCGGAACAUUAUUUGUUUUACUUUAUUUUCUGGGCCGUGUAUCAUUUCUAAUCGUUUAGAGUAUGCACGCACUAUAUGAAUUGUGAUGGGUGGUUAUUGCGACGAGGCCGUGUGGUCAACCCGGUGCCAAAGCAAUCUCCUCACAAAACUGAGGAUGGUGUCGACGAGCAACGAGAUUCGACAACGGUGUUACUGCUUUCAAAAUAAAUACCAUAUAAACCAUAACAAAUUGGAGUCUGAUCUAACACGAUAUACGGACAUUACGCACCCUAAAACCAACUCGGCGAGAGAUAAUAUGUUCGGCAUUGCGUCAAUUUUGUGGGCUGAUUUAUGACAUUGGAGAUUGUAGUUGCCCAAAAUCUUUAGCUGGUUAAAAAGACAGAUCGGGCGACGACAGAUUAGUAGUCCAACCAGUUCAAUCUCAAAAAUUGUGCUAACUAAUCUGCCGUCGGAUUACGUGUGAUUUUCCUAAUCGGACAACGGAAUUCUAUUUCCUCGUUAAAUAUUAUAUUUCCAUGAAAGGGAAUCUUAGUCUACGGACAAAAGUUGUUGCGUCCGAUUUUUUAGACAACAAAUUGUUUUCAUUAUAGAUUUUAAAAAGAAAAUCUGACAAUUAUUAUCCCUGUAGCGACCAUCCGAUUUCAAGAAAACAACAUAUAAACAUAUUAUAAUACCUAAAUAAAUAAAUAUAAAAUGCUUUUGCAACAGAAUGAAUUAUUUAUCUAUUUAAAAUGUUAUCCGCAGACUAAAUUUAACCGGCACAUAUCUAAUUACUCAAGCUAAAGAUGUGAGACUGGAAUGAAAUUAGCAGUCAUUACUAGUCUUUUAACUAUAUGGUCCUUUUGAUCAGCGGUAAAUUAGCUUUCCUCCUAACAAAGCCUGUAUAGCAAGCAGUGGGCCGUAAAUAAGACAGCUCGACCUCCCCUUAACACCUUUUCUGUUGUCAAUCACAGCUCUGCAAUUCAUCCCUAGAUUAACCUUUAUCUGCAAAAUUCAAAAAAAAUCUUCGUCCAAAGUGGCUAAUUUUUAAACUGAAAAGAUCUGUUAAAUUUCAGUAUAAUUAACCCAAGUGUCAGAAACCCAGUCCAGUUUCUCAACCAAUUUCAGAGGAUUUGGCGUCUUGAUAACGGAACAAGUAAUAAUGCAGGCAAGAUUUUUUAAAUUAGUUUUUCCCCUUUCAGCCACUCUGGUUUGCUAUCCUGUUAUUAAAUUCGACAUUGUAUAAUAGAUUGCACGUUUCUGAACAAUUUAACCCCUUCGCCCCCAAGUAAUGAAACAUGGAUUAUAAAUAUAUCUAGGUUGAAGUAAGAUGGUUUACAGAG